GCCUGGAUGGCUCUGUUGGUAGAGCGGGAGAUUCUUGAUCUCUGCAUUGUGGGUUCGAGUCCUGUGUUGGGUG
rnacentral:tRNA from 1 species